rnacentral:rRNA from 1 species
GAAUAUUGGACAAUGGGCGAAAGCCUGAUCCAGCCAUGCCGCGUGUGUGAAGAAGGUCUUCGGAUUGUAAAGCACUUUAAGUUGGGAGGAAGGGCAGUAAGCGAAUACCUUGCUGUUUUGACUUUACCUACAGAAUAAGCAUCUGCUAACUCAGUGCCAUCAGCCGCGGUAAUACAGAGGGUGCAAGCGUUCAUCGGAAUUACUGGGCGUAAAGAGCGCGUAGGUGGUUCGUUAAGUUGGAUGUGAAAUCCCCGGGCUCAACCUGGGAACUGCAUCCAAAACUGGCGAGCUAGAGUAGGGCAGAGGGUGGGGGAAUUUCCUGUGUAGCGGGGAAACGCGUAGAUAUAGGAAGGAACACCAGUGGCGAAGGCGACCACCUGGGCUCAUACUGACACUGAGGUGCGAAAGCGUGGGGAGCAAACAG